AGAGUUCGAUUCUGGCUCAGGAUGAACGCUAGCUACAGGCUUAACACAUGCAAGUCGAGGGGCAGCGGGAUUGAAGCUUGCUUCAAUUGCCGGCGACCGGCGCACGGGUGAGUAACGCGUAUCCAACCUUCCGCAUACUCGGGGAUAGCCUUCUGAAAAGGAGAUUAAUACCCGAUGGUAUCAGGAUAUUGCAUGAUAACCUGAUUAAAGAAUUUCGGUAUGCGAUGGGGAUGCGUUCCAUUAGGUAGUAGGCGGGGUAACGGCCCACCUAGCCAACGAUGGAUAGGGGUUCUGAGAGGAAGGUCCCCCACAUUGGAACUGAGACACGGUCCAA
rnacentral:rRNA from 1 species